rnacentral:rRNA from 1 species
GACGAACCGUGCGAACGUUGUUCGGAAUCACUGGGCUUAAAGGGCGCGUAGGCGGAUCAGCAAGUCCGGGGUGAAAUCUUUCGGCUCAACCGGAAAAGUGCCUUGGAUACUGCUGGUCUUGAGGGAGGUAGGGGCAUGUGGAACUUCCGGUGGAGCGGUGAAAUGCGUUGAUAUCGGAAGGAACAUCAGUGGCGAAAGCGGCUUCCUGGUCCAGCACCGACGUUCAGGCACGAAAGCGUGGGGAGCAAACAGG